AAACCGUGUUGUGGGCAUAAACUAACUAGAUCCUUGAACCACUCCCAACAUUGGAAGAAUGUUUCAUCUUUCUUUUGGGCAAAGUUCCUGAUCGACUUUCUGAUGGU